rnacentral:misc_RNA from 1 species
UACAACACAAUGCCAAGGAAUAACAAUCUCACAAAAUUGUCGUUAUUCAAUAAUCAGACACUGUUUGUAGAAUCAAAUUAAGUUUAUUGUCAGUUUUUGCUUAGAUAAACAACUCUUUGACAAAACAAUGACAGUGCAGGACUGCUACUUAUGACGUCAGGGACAGGGCUCAGUCGAUUGGUGUGGGAGUACUACUGUAACCCGUAGUCACGUGACUCCGUGGGGUUCCUAAUCAACAGGACUUGAAUGACGGUUUUGAAUGCAACCUUAACUGGUAUUCAGAACUUGAUGAUUAAAUGUCACGUGCCAUUAUGCGACAAUCUUCCUAAUUAAGGGCUGUUUUGUAAUAAUUACGUGUAAUAUGAUAUUAUAUUAUGUAUUUCAUGAUUUAUCAUAUUGAUUUAUUAUUUACAUGAAAUAAAAGUAUGUAUUAU